rnacentral:rRNA from 1 species
GUCCACGCCGUAAACGAUGAAUACUAGGUGUCGGGCGUCAAAACUCGGUGCCGCAGCAAACGCAUUAAGUAUUCCGCCUGGGGAGUACGCACGCAAGUGUGAAACUCAAAGGAAUUGACGGGGACCCCGCACAAGCAGCGGAGCAUGUGGUUUAAUUCGAAGCAACGCGAAGAACCUUACCAGGUCUUGACAUCUCUCUGAUCGAUCCUUAGCCGGAUCUUUCCUUCGGGACAGAGAUGACAGGUGGUGCAUGGUUGUCGU